rnacentral:misc_RNA from 1 species
AUAAAUAUCAAUCACCACUUCCAUUUUCUGUCACUGCCACCUCUGCAAAUCACAACCCAAAACCACAAAAUGGAAACUCCUUCUUGGGUUGCCUAUGCCGCUGCCUGGGUUGCCACCGUAGCUCUAGUCCUCCUCUCCCGUCGUCUCCGCCGCCGUAAACUCAACCUUCCACCCGGCCCAAAAUCUUGGCCCAUAAUCGGA